UGUGGUUUAACUGCCUCUCUCCCUUUUGGAAACUGAAUCCUGCAUGAUAUUCUUUUAAAAAUCAUAGUCCAUUGUUUUUUCUUUUUUGUUGUUGUUUUUAAAGAACUCUAAAGGCUUCAAAGCGAUUCUUUGACUAAGUAGCACAGCUCCAUAUAGGACCCCACUCCCCUGAUCCAAGCCUAGUGUCCAUUUAAUGAAACCAGAUUAGAAGGGAUUAUUGCUGGCUCUGGAGAGGCCGCUGCCACAAACAAUGUGUCACUCGAGAUUGUGCGGCUAUAAUACAGUUGUGCUCAGCUUGCCUUCACGUUUGUAUCCACCUGGAAACUCUCUUUCCCGGGGGUCACCUCAGGUCAGCACCCUGGAUGGCUGCUCCUUUCAGGUGGGGACUCUUGUCUGGAUUCCCUGCAGGCAUGUAGACAACUGUCUUGUAUUCCCUGUGAAGUAAAGCAAAAAAGUGCAGACUCUCCACAUCCCUCUCAGCAUGUGACCUCACUUGCUGUCCGCAUCCAUACCCACAGCCGUCUCACGUGUUGGCAACAUCUCCCAGCAGAGUGUGCAUUGUUCCAGUGAGAUCACUUUCCAGGGCCCUGGCACGGUCUGCUUCACCCUGUAUUGUGCCGUCCAUGUGUUUGAGAGAAGGAGCGAGAACAACUGUCUGCCAUUGUACCCUCAUAAAGAACUGCUUCACGGCCCCAGACACCUCUGCUCUCAGUUCACAGCCCAGCCCCAGACCCUGGCACACAUCUUUUGUUGCAGGCCAAUUUUUGCUCAAAGGCUUUGCUCGUCGACCCACUUCAUUUGUGUUGGGUACAUAAUGGAGAACAAUGAGGACUAAGAUAGCCACCCCUCCAACUGCGAGGAGGGGGUGAUGGUAGGGCCAGGUAAAAUAUCAAGAGAGCAAAGGCAAGAAAUCGUGAUUCCACUGCAACUCGAAAGAUACCGGUAAAGGCUGCAAAGAGAGUGGGGCCUGGUACGUCUAAGCCGAAGCCUCCAGGAUGAACAUAGUUUAGAUACUGGGCUGGAGAGAUGGCUCAGUGUGCAAGGGUGUUUGCUGCCAAGUCCGGCGACCUGAGUUUAAUAUGGGACCUGAGUUUAGAUGGUAGAGGGAGGGAACUGCUUCCUGAAAAUAAGUCAGAUGUUGAGAGAGGACAGAGUAUUCAUGAGCAACUGGAAAGUGUCGAGUUUGAGGAUCCCAGAGCUUGAUGAAUUAGCACAAGGAGACAUAGGGUGCGGGUCAGAGGCAAUGUUGGAGAGCGUUGGGCCAACUUGCUGGCCUGCCUGUGGGGGUGAUUUUAAUUAGGUUCAUUGAUGUUGGAAAAACCUGUCCCCUGCGGGUGGCAUCAUUUCCUAUCCUGAGAUCCUAGGCUAUAUAAAACCAGAGAAAGCGAGCUGAACACAGACACCCAUCCCUCUCUGACCAACUGCCUUCACCUCCAGCUACCAGGACGUCUCCACCACGAUUGAACUAUGAGCCGAAAUGAACGCUUCCGCCUGAGGGUGCUUUAUGAAUCCUAUUUAUUUUACCACAGCACCACACCAAAGGAAUAUACCAGCUUCAUUUGCAAAGGCAAGCUCCUGGACCCUUUACUCACUGGAGAAAUAGAGUCAGAGGGACAGUUUAAGAAGGUGUGCUGGAUUGUUUUAUGUCAACUUGCUGCAAACUGAAGUCAUUUGAGAGGAGGGCGCCUGAACCGUGAAGAUGCCUCCAUAAGACUGGGCUGUAGGCAGGCCUGUUCAAUGGACCAUAGACUUGGAGUAUUUGGGAAGAAUCACAACUAUACAGCCUGUAGUCUUCUCGUCCACUCCUUCCUACACAGCAGACACAGCAUCCACACUGUAUUAGGUGCUGUACAUCACUGGAGAUGAUGUAAGAGAUACAGGAUGGUGCGGCUAAGGCAUUUACUAGGUGGUCUUCAAUUUCCACGAGGAAGACAAUGGCAUCUCUUGCGAGGCGUGGCUUCUGAUUCUGACUUAACUCCUCGGCUCCUUCCACCCAGGUCUCCAGAGUCACAUUUAUCUACCUGUCCAUCUUGCUGGCAUCCCCCAGACUUCAUUUCUCAGAGUAAUCUCUCACCCUUGAACUACUCCAUCCCAAGAUAAAACCCAUUUUGGAACUCCUGUGGCAUUCAUUACCCAUUUCACCUCAUGAGACUAAAUGCUACUCUCUGUGCCUUGAUUUCUACAUUAUACAUGGAUAUAAUGGCAUCAUCUCUUGUGAUGAAGAUUUAAGGGGUGACUAUUUACAAGUCUGCCCAGAGCCACGCCUCCUUUUACACCCUCUGUUUCAGGAAUGUUCUCAGGAAUGUUUCAGACCCCCUUACACCCUCUGUUUCUGGGAAACCUAGCCAGUUAUCUGUUCUUACCAGUACACCUGCAAUUUACGGUUUUGGUUAAGGAUUAUAGGAACUGAAAGAACAAUGGGAGGGUGGUGACGGUGAUGAAUUGGUCUUGGGCCCUGUGUGGCCUUCCCACCUGCUUGUCUUUUUAAGUUGCUGUUCUGAAAUAAAAUUUGAGAGCUUGAUGAGACAAU
rnacentral:sRNA from 1 species